rnacentral:lncRNA from 1 species
ACCAUUAUUAGUUUUGUAUUCUAAUGAAUAAAUAUUUUAUAAACAAACCUAAUUAUAACGGGUUGCAUAAUUCUGCCUCUUGCUCACUUGAACUCGAGCAAGUUUUUGGUUUGGGAAUGCAUGGACUGUGAACAACUCCAUGCUGCCUUCCUUUCCCAAGAGAAGCACAACCAACCUCUUUGGGAAAUCUAGAAUGGGAUUUUGUAGAGACUGGCACUCAAGAACAAGAGGUCUAGCCUCUUCAACCUUGGUUUUUGAGGGCGUUCAACCAGGCAUCCACUUGUGAGGAGCUCAGAGAGCCCUCAGCUUGAUUAUUUGAAAUUGCGAUAACGCUGACACACUCCCGUGGGAUCGACAUUGACUGCAAGCUCUGUAAUUUGAUCAACACAAGAAUAUAACCUCCUCUACGUACUUCAGAUAGAGAUGAGAGAUCGCUACGCCAGCAAAUGAGGUAAGACGUUUGCGACGCUCGUAGAAAAAGUCACGUUGUAAAUUGAUCGCAAACAUUAGAACACGCCACAAGCGCGUCCAG